ACGGCUUCUACCGUAGCCGCGAAUGCGACCAUC
rnacentral:sRNA from 1 species